AUUCAAUGAUGUGGGCAUUUUCUUUGUAAUUCCUUAAAUCGUUCCCAUGCAUCAUACAAAGACUCCCCAUCCAAUUGAUGGAAAUUGUUAAUCUCUCCUCUUAUUCU